rnacentral:rRNA from 1 species
GCGACCCCAGGUCAGGCGGGGCCACCCGCCGAGUUUAAGCAUAUAAAUAAGCGGAGGAGAAGAAACUUACAAGGAUUCCCCUAGUAACGGCGAGCGAACCGGGAUGAGCCCAGCUUGAGAAUCGGGCGGCGGUGCCGUUCGAAUUGUAGUCUGGAGAAGCGUCGUCAGCGACGGACCGGGCCCAAGUCCCCUGGAAAGGGGCGCCGGGGAGGGUGAGAGCCCCGUCCGGCCCGGACCC